rnacentral:rRNA from 1 species
UAUGGGGGAUGCAAGCGUUAUCCGGAAUCAUUGGGCGUAAAGCGCCUGUAGGUUGUUUAAUAAGUCUGUUGUUAAAGACUGGGGCUUAACCCCAGGAAAGCAAUGGAAACUACUAGACUAGAGUAUGGUAGGGGUAAAGGGAAUUUCUAGUGUAGCGGUGAAAUGCGUAGAUAUUAGAAAGAACACCGGCGGCGAAAGCGCUCUACUGGACCAUUACUGACACUCAGAGGCGAAAGCUAGGGGAGCAAAAGGGAUUAGAUACCCCUGUAGUCCUAGCCGUAAACGAUGGAUACUAGAUGUUGCGCAAUUUGUGCAGUAUCUUAGCUAACGCGUUAAGUAUCCCGCCUGGGGAGUACGCUCGCAAGGGUG